rnacentral:rRNA from 1 species
AUGACGCUGAAGUUGCAGGAUCGAGCAGACGCAGGAGACACAGUUGCACUUGUACAUGGCAACCACAUGAAAGAAGUCUUAGCCGCACCAGAACCAGGAGGGAGGAGAAAAAGAAAGAAGGAAGAACAGGACCAACAAAAAAAACAUGAAGGGAAGAAAAGAAUAACAAAAUCAAGAACACAUAACUCGAGAAUUAGCCAGAGGGAGAUAGAAGAACAUAACAAGGUGCAAAAGGAUCAAAACAAGGAGGACGUAUCAACCAACACAUCAAGUGCCGAAGGACAGCAAGAACAAGGUAGAAAAGUAGCUGCAGAAGCAGAGAAUCAAGAUGAGAAACAGCCGGACAAGUAUCAUAUCGACUCUCCCGCAAACGAGCCACGGGCUGAUCUAGCAUCGACCGUUAACAGCACGGCAGAAAAACAAGAAGAAAACAACAAAGAAGAGGUAUUACAGGCACAGCAAAGAGAAGAGGAUGCCCAUGCAAAACAGAAAGUUCAUAUAGAAGAGCUUUUCCGCACAAGAGCAUUUCAGAUAACCGAUACAGGGGAGAAAGCCUCAGACACUCCACUUGGUGACACACCCAAGGCUGGCAUACAAAGCAAAGAAAAAGUGGACGCACAAACGGAUAUCCCAACCACCAACGCAAAGGAAACAAACAAGGACGAUCAUGCCAAAGAACAGCAAGGAGUACAGACAGAACAAACCAAAAAACAAGGGCAAAUGCUGACUAAAAUGGUACCCAGUACACCAUCAUCAAAGACCAACGAGAUGCAAGAAACAGAGGAGAGCACCAAUAUUCAAGGCAAAGAAACACAACAACAUAAGGGAAUGGAACAAGCAGAAGAUGUUCUUCCAACAACGGACAGCCUAACCAUCGUAGACCAGGCCAGAAAACCUUCGCUGUCCGGGCAAGAAAUAACAGAGAUUGCAACGUCGACGCAAAAGAUCGAAAAGCCACAAGACAAAAAUGACGACACCACGGAUGAACAAAACAAAAAAGAUCCAGAGGAGGUCCAAGAAGCUCCACUCACCGAAGAAAAGGUCGAAGAGGCAGCACCAGAGGAAACGACUGAAAAGAAACCUCAACAGGACACGCACGCAGACACAAGUAAAGAAGCAAAGGGCCACAGUGCAUUGGAAAACCAUGCAUCAAACAUUCCAGAGAGAGAGUCAGACAGCAACAAGAAAAAGGCCGCACCAUCAGACAAGAAACAUUGUGCUGUAAAAGAUGUUGCCACCACAAACAUGGCGGUAACCCAGGACAGCACUCAAACAGAACAUGAACCUUUGAUCAUACAAAACCUGGCCAUCGAAGAAGGGACAAAAGAUGAAGGGAUCGAACACCUGUACAACAACGUCAUGACAGCAAAUGAGGACAAAGGGCAUGAGAUUUUAAUAAAUACAGAGACAACAACAGUAACAGUCAGCCACAUGGCACAAAGCUUCGACAUUGGAAAGCUAGUGCGCAGCGAAACCAUGGCAGUCAUGCUACAGAUGUUGAAAAAGCAACUCAGGGGCACAAAGAGAAAGAUUCUAUCAACAUACAACACCGCAUCAAUACGCAUGGCCAACCAUGAAGAUCCAUUGGAGUUGAAAAACAAAGAUGAAGCACACGUCAGAGACAAGACAAUUCCUAAAAGGCUUAAAUGA